GUUGUCAAAGCUACUAAGCCUAUUUGACAGAGAUAUGUCAUAGAGAUCUCACUAUCUUUCUGAGUAGGUGGGCAAUGUCAAUGAUGUUGUAAUCACCUGGUCUUUUGGUUGGUGUUUUUUCCUCAUGGAAUGGCCUUUUUAAUGAUAAUAAAAAAACUAUUUAUUUGACAUAAAUGUUUUUGUUUAAAGAGGUUUCCAACUUGCCAUUUCUUAUGACAAAUGACCUUUGGUGAUUUCUAAUGUGAUCAUAUUUUAUCUUUAUUAGCUGAUAUGAAACAUAAGGCUAACGGUCAGUACAGUCUUAAAGGCAUCUCGGGUGGUCCUUUACUUAAGCUCACUUGUAACAUAGAAAAUAAGCUCAUUUGAGGGGCUUGUGACUUGUAGAGCUGCUGCAACCUUGUGAAUUGUGAUUUUAUAUUUUGAUUAUGGUCUUAUGGUUAUGAAGUUAUAAGCAGUGUCUUUGAGGUGGGGUGAGUUAUCUGGAAGUGAUCAUUUUUUGGUACUGUACAUGAGAAAUUGAUGAGUCAUGAGAGUACCAUGGAAUUGUACUAUAUAGUUGUGGAUUAUGCCAAUAUCUUCAUUUCCGGGUUUAGAAAUUUCUGCACUGAGUACCAGGAAAUGCCAGUAUAGUGUGAUGUGGAUACCACUGAAUUGCUGGGUUUGAGGAUUUGACAUCAACACCUUGUCAUCUCAUCAAAAUCAAUUAUUGGAAGGCAUCCAUAGUUGUGUUUGCAAAGCCUCUUUGGUAUCAGUGAUGUGUGUGAUCUAUCCAACUGGGAAAUUUGAUUUGGCAUGACUAAACUGUCUCUGUGUACCAAUCACUUACCUGACAAGCACAAUAAAGCUUUGCUAUACCUGAUCUCAGCAAUCUCUUACAUUUUGUUCAUAGUGGUACAAUUUUAGCAUGUUCUUACUGUUGUUGAGCAAACCACAAGACUGAAAUCUUCUAGAUACCAAUAUGGAAACAUGGAUGCUUUAGUUACACAUGUAAACUGUGUGAGUUGUGGUUUUUAGUCUUGAAGAGACAUGGGGAAAUGAAAAUGAAGGGUAUGCACAAAAGUUGUGCUGUUUUCUGUUUUUAAACAGGUGGUUAAUGAUUUUGCAUAUAGUUUUCUGGAUGAUUGUACUGCUUGUUGGAUUUUUGUUGAGAUCGUUUGUAUUUCAUUUGCAUUUAAGUUGUCUUGGCAUAGAAUGGUUCUUAAUUUUUUUUCAUUGCCUUGAAAUGUCUAGCUAUUGGUUGAUGUUUGGGCUAAUUAAGAGAUGAACUGUUUACCUAUGAUUCAUUUCUAGAUGACUGAAGUACAAAGGGUAUUGCAUAAUACCUUGCCUUCUCUCUGUGUAGGCUUACUAUUUUGUUGGACAUGGAUUGAUCUUUUGACUAUUGUUUCCAAAUUGGCAUUUUGCUAAGGUUUUGAUUGUAAAAAUAUAUUUUUUGUUGGCUACUAAAAAAACUCGGUUGGUAGGGGAAAGACCGCCCCACGAUAUUAUAUUAAGAAGCUUAAUCAGAAUCCUGACCGAGAAAGGUUAGGAAAGUUACCCCCCAACCCUCUCCGUGUGAAGCAUGAGGGUUCGCUCCAUAUAUACCAGAUCCUUACUCGUGCUUUGAGUCCUCCUAGCCUCUACAUGAUGAUCCGCCCCAUAGGUCAGUCCAUCUCAUGUGCACACAAUCACAAGAAUCAACGAGUGACCUUUUUUAACCUCAGCAUGAAACUCGAUCCCAAAUUCGAACUCAGGACCUAACUACUUAGACCACCUAACUAACUCGGCUAAAGGCCCUUUCGCUUUUGUUGCCUACUAACAUACAUCUAAGUUUGUAGAUAUAUCAGUAUAUCACUUAGAAACGAUAUUUGUAUAUUUGUAAUUUAAUUUGCUUAUGUCUCAUGAUAUAUCCAUUUUUGUGUAAUGGUAAACAAAAUGAAUUUUGAAGACCAUUUCAAUCAUCAAUAUUAAAGGAACUAGUAAAAUAGAAUAAAUGUGAUAUAUCUUUGUGUCUUGAUCAUGCCCAAUAUUUCUUUGUUUUCGAAGCACUCUCGUUAGUAUUCAGUUAGGUUAUGGAGCUCUUGUGUGGCCAUAUUUUCUAAGCCUUGAGUUUGUUAGGUUUGACUCAAAAAGCACCCCUUUGAUUAGAAUGAAUGUCUUCCCAAGUCAACUUCUGUAACUCUGACCACACUCAUAGAAGAAUGCACCAGCUUCAAACAUAUCUUCAUAUCGCAUUUAUUUGGUACUGUAAAUUUUAAUAUAUAAUUCAAUUUCCUAUAAAUUUGGUCAUAGUUCAUAGCUAAUGCUAUUAUAUUGUACAAGUUUGAUGAUUUGUAACUAUGUUUCCGGAAAUUACUUUUUGCGCUUUUCCUCUUCUGCCAGAUAAAAAAUUAUAUCUGUAUUUUACCUUGUUACUCAUAUGCUAAAGUUAUACAGGAAAGAAGGAAAUCUCACGAGGGUUUUCUUUCUCUCUCAAAAUUGGCGAGUUCUUAUUUGGGAAAUUGGUCCCCAAAUAAUGCUUUACCUUUUCAGUAACGUUUUUAGAUGUAAUCACUUCUUGCCCUUUCCCUGCUGUUUUCUCGAUCUUGACAUACAUGUUACAAGUAUACAUGUAAUGUAAAUGCUCUUUUUUUCAUUUUUUGAAACUACUGAUGAUUUGUUUGUUUCUUGCUUUUGAAUUAUUUUUAUUGUUGCAGGGGCACGCAAGGUUCGUUCAAUGACCGAGGGGUGAGGUGAACACAAGUCUGAUCUCGCCAGUUGCAACAAUGUUGCUUUAGACUGCCAUGUUAAAUAAUUCUCCGAGCAAAAGAUACACCCAUUACAAUUUACAAGUGGGUUGCCCCAUGAUUGUAUUGUUAGACGGGAGUUCGGUGAACCCCAACAGUUAUACUGAUACAAAGACAAAAGACGUAAUAAAGGACAAUCAAAGCGUAAACAUUGGCGACGUGAUCAUGCUUCAAUCCCGUCCCCUUCUGUCUUUUCUUACAAUGGAAGCAGGAACUCGUGUGCUCAGGCAUUCUGUCGCUCAUGAUUGCUUGUUGGUUUCUCUCCUCUGUAUAGCCUAAAGGCAAAGUAACACUCCAGAUGCGAAAGUAAGAUGAAAUAACUUACUCCGUACAUCUGGACAGCUUAUUUUUACAUCUAACAUUUUACCAUUCUAUCUUUUACCAUAAGCCCUAAGCUAGCUUAUGUAAACCAAAAGGAGAAAAGCGGGCCUUAAAGGCCUGAACAGUGUAACUGAACAGUAGCUUCAUUUUGAAACCUAUUCUGGCAAUCAGUUUAUUACUACACCUAAG
rnacentral:lncRNA from 1 species